ensembl:snRNA U6 U6 spliceosomal RNA
GUGCUCACUUCGGCAGCAUGUAUAUUAACAUUGGAAUGCUACAGAGAAGAUUAGCAUGGCCCCUGCACAAGGAUGGCAUGUAAAUUUGUGAAGCAUUCCAUUAAAAA